UCUGGCCUCUUUAUUUAAGGUUAACUAGGUGAAAGAGCUGUUUUAGGAAAUGUUAAAGUCUUAAGCUGUUUUCUUUGUUAUUUAUCAUCUAGCUUCUACAUGUAAAAUGCUACUGCUAUUAUGAAAUAAUUCUGAAGCAAUGUUUCUGUUUUCACACCUGCAUUUAUUUUGUGAGAAGUACUGAGAAUAAUAUUAUGCUAAUAUUUACAACAAUAUAUAUCUGAUCAGUGUGGUUU